rnacentral:rRNA from 1 species
CUACACGUGCAAGUCGAGCGGCAGCGGAAAGUAGCUGCUACUUUGCCGGCGAGCGGCGGACGGGUGAGUAAUGUCUGGGAAACUGCUGAUGGAGGGGGAUAACUACUGGAAACGGUAGCUAAUACCGCAUAACGUCGCAAGACCAAAGAGGGGGACUUUCGGGCCUCUUGCCAUCAGAUGUGCCCAGAUGGGAUUAGCUAGUAGGUGGGGUAACGGCUCACCUAGGCGACGAUCCCUAGCUGGUCUGAGAGGAUGACCAGCCACACUGGAACUGAGACACGGUCCAGACUCNUACGGGAGGCAGCAGUGGGGAAUAUUGCACAAUGGGCGCAAGCCUGAUGCAGCCAUGCCGCGUGUAUGAAGAAGGCCUUCGGGUUGUAAAGUACUUUCAGCGGGGAGGAAGGUGUUGAGGUUAAUAACCUCAGCAAUUGACGUUACCCGCAGAAGAAGCACCGGCUAACUCCGUGCCAGCAGCCGCGGUAAUACGGAGGGUGCAAGCGUUAAUCGGAAUUACUGGGCGUAAAGCGCACGCAGGCGGUCUGUCAAGUCGGAUGUGAAAUCCCCGGGCUCAACCUGGGAACUGCAUUCGAAACUGGCAGGCUAGAGUCUUGUAGAGGGGGGUAGAAUUCCAGGUGUAGCGGUGAAAUGCGUAGAGAUCUGGAGGAAUACCGGUGGCGAAGGCGGCCCCCUGGACAAAGACUGACGCUCAGGUGCGAAAGCGUGGGGAGCAAACAGGAUUAGAUACCCUGGUAGUCCACGCCGUAAACGAUGUCGACUUGGAGGUUGUGCCCUUGAGGCGUGGCUUCCGGAGCUAACGCGUUAAGUCGACCGCCUGGGGAGUACGGCCGCAAGGUUAAAACUCAAAUGAAUUGACGGGGGCCCGCACAAGCGGUGGAGCAUGUGGUUUAAUUCGAUGCAACGCGAAGAACCUUACCUACUCUUGACAUCCAGAGAACUUUCCAGAGAUGGAUUGGUGCCUUCGGGAACUCUGAGACAGGUGC